rnacentral:lncRNA from 1 species
GUCCCCUACAAGCCACUGGUUGAUGAAAUCCUUUCAGUUAUGUUGAAAUUGGUUAAUAAGUGUGUUUUCUUAGUAUAGUUACUGUUAUGGUUGGUGCUCAUAUAGCGAUCCCUUAACAAGUUUAAUUUUAUAUAGACAACAGGUAUUCAUUUUACCUGGGAAUGGUUUUAAUGUUAUCGGUAUGUAUUAUAUUCAGUGUAGGGAUUUGUCAGAUCUCUUAUAAUAUCUCAAAAAAUGUAUACCGAUUUUCGGUAGCUGUAAUAACGCUUACUGUUUUUUUAGGGACAGAUAUUACAGAUACAAACCAGGGUUGCAGACAAAGCUGUCAAAGUCCUGGAUGUUCUGCGAGGGGACUUGUGGUGUGCUUCCAGUCAGUCUGAGAAUCUGGAGAGUUGCAGCUGUUGUCACUGGAUGCAGGACUCUGUACUGCCUUCCUCUCUUAGCAGAUAACCGUUAGUGCCUGUGGUUUACCAACCAUAUAACACACCCAUCAAUCUGACAAAAAGACUAUUACCCACUUUAGUAACAUUUCACUGCUGAAUUUUACACACUGAUAUUAAAUCUGUU